CGCGUUCUACAAAAAGGUCAAGGCUAAUGGUUGAUACAACUUGUAUAUAACCCAGAUAACUUUUCAAGUUUUGGGGUUGAUAUUUGGAUUUGCAAUCGUCAAACAACAAGCAUGGCAGACCGAGACAAGGCUACGAACCAAAUGGAAGAGUUUAAACGGACCCAGGGGAGCCCAGACACCCUGACAACUGGUAUAGGCUCCCCGGUGGGUAACAAAACAGCCUCCAUGACUGUGGGGCCGCGCGGUCCCCUGUUGAUGCAGGAUUUCGUGUUCACAGAUGAGAUGGCACAUUUCAAUAGGGAGAGGAUCCCAGAGAGGGUGGUGCAUGCGAAAGGGGCAGGUGCUUUUGGUUACUUUGAGUGCACCCAUGAUGUCUCAAAGUAUACAAAACUCAAGCCAUUUGAGUUUGUUGGCAAGAAGACACCCUUGGCUGUACGGUUUUCUACUGUCGGAGGGGAGUCGGGCUCCGCAGACACCGCACGUGACCCUCGAGGGUUCGCUGUGAAGAUGUACACAGAGGAAGGGAACUGGGACAUUGUGGGCAAUAAUACACCCAUUUUCUUUAUCAGGGACCCUUUCUUGUUCCCGAGCUUCAUUCACACACAGAAGAGGAAUCCUCAGACUCACCUGAAGGACCCAGACAUGUUUUGGGACUUCAUCAGCCUGCGACCAGAGACGACCCACCAGGUCUCGUUCCUCUUCUCAGAUCGGGGCACGCCAGAUGGUUAUCGCCAAAUGAACGGCUAUGGAAGCCACACGUUCAAGCUUGUCAACAAGGAUGGUGAAGCUGUAUAUUGCAAGUUCCACUUUAAGAGUGACCAGGGCAUUAAGAACCUCUCCGCUGACAAGGCUGGGGAGCUUUCGGGCAGUGACCCCGACUAUGCGAUGCGCGACCUCUACAACUCUAUCGCUGAGGGCAAUUACCCCUCGUGGAGCCUUAAGAUCCAAGUCAUGACCUACGAGGAGGCAGAAAAAUUCCGUUGGAAUCCCUUUGACCUCACGAAGAUCUGGCCGCAAGGGGAGUUUCCGCUGAUUCCUGUUGGCCGUAUGGUGCUGAACCGCAACCCCAAGAAUUACUUUGCCGAGGUAGAACAGGUUGCCUUUAGUCCAGCCCACAUGAUCCCCGGCGUGGAAGCUAGCCCUGACAAGAUGCUGCAGGGUCGCCUGUUUUCCUAUUCUGACACCCAUCGACACCGCCUGGGUACAAACUACCUGCAGAUUCCUGUCAACUGCCCGUACAACGCUCGCCUGAGGAACUACCAGCGAGAUGGACCUCAGACUGUCAAUGAUAACCAAGGAGGAGCGCCCAAUUACUUCCCAAACAGUUUUAGUGGACCAGUAGACGACAAGCAAUGGGUGGAGCAUAUGGACAAGUAUUCUAAUGCUCAGGUUGGCCGCUAUAAUACCGCAGACGAUGACAACUUCACACAAGUGGGCACAUUCUUUAACAAGGUCCUCUCGCCUGCUCAUCGUGAGAAUCUAACAUCCAACAUUGCGGGUCACUUAAUUGGGGCACAGGAGUUCAUCCAGAAACGUGCCAUUGGCAAUUUUGCCCAGGCUGACCCAGUUUACGGAAGGAUGAUACAGGAGAAAAUUGACAAGCUUAAGGCAAAGAAACAGGUAUAGAAUUUUCUACUUUUGUCCGCAUGUAGAUUGAAGAUUAGUUUAGCUUCAGGUUUCAGUAAGCGUUCCAGCACAAUUGUAAAACAACCGUGGAGAGACAUUAAGUGAUUUCAAAUAUAUGCACAAACGGCAUUAUAAAAAAAGACUUUAUGGGCAUAUUUAAGUUUGUAUAUAAUUGCAACACAAUAUAUAGAUACAUUAUUGGUCAAGCUUGAAAUUAUUGAUGUUAACGCAGUUAAUAAUGGUGUUAAACCAUUGGUUUUAAGUUUAUAUAAAUAUGAUGUACAUGUCAAAAAUUGUUCAUAAUUGUUAUGAAUUUUUGUAAUCCUGAUUUAAAAACUGUUUUGCUUUUCAGUUAACUUAUAACUUUAAUAAUUACAGUUUGUCAUUCAGCAUUAUUAGAUUGUGAUUAAUUUUUUGUAUGCAGUUUUUUUAUAAUAAUGGUUUUGCUAGCUAUUGUCACAAUUCAUAUUUUAAGCGGAAUUAAAAGCAAAACAAUUAUGUUUUAAUUGACCUCCAUUUUGCUAGCACAUAGUAAAACUUAUAUGUACAGAAGGCAACGGCCUUUAUGCUUUAGCCAAGAUGUACAAGAUUGUUAUUUUGAUGCGCAAUUAAUCAGAUUUUUUUCUAAUUGUGUGAUUUGUUAAGUAUUUGUUAAGUGUACAUUUUAUUGUGUGGAGGCUCUUUCAGUUAAAAGGUUGUAAUGCAUUUGAUUUUUAUAUGUACUUUACAGAGUAUAAAUUGAUAAUUCAAAAAGACAAUCGUUAAUAAAAUUUGUAUAUCAGUA